GGGGAUGUAGCUCAGUUGGCUAGAGCACUUGCAUGGCAUGCAAGGGGUCAGGGGUUCAACUCCCCUCAUCUCCACCA
rnacentral:tRNA from 1 species